GCUAGAUUGAGGGAGUGGCGAACGGGUGAGUAAUACAUAAGCAACCUGCCUACAAGGACUGGGAUAAUCUUUGGAAACGAGGACUAAUACCGGAUAGGUAAUAAUGAGGCAUCUCAAUAUUAUUAAAGGUGAGAAACACAAGUAGAUGGGCUUAUGGUGCAUUAGUUAGUUGGUGAGGUAACGGCCCACCAAGACGAUGAUGCAUAGCCGGCCUGAGAGGGUGAACGGCCACAUUGGGACUGAGACACGGCCCAAACUCCUACGGGAGGCAGCAGUAGGGAAUUUUCGGCAAUGGGGGAAACCCUGACCGAGCAACGCCGCGUGAGUGAAGAAGGUCUUCGGAUUGUAAAGCUCUGUUGUAAGGGAAGAAUGACCGGGAUAGGAUCUCGGAGUGACGGUACCUUACCAGAAAGCCACGGCUAACUACGUGCCAGCAGCCGCGGUAAUACGUAGGUGGCGAGCGUUAUCCGGAAUUAUUGGGCGUAAAGGGUGCGUAGGCGGUCUGUUAAGUUUGUGGUUAAAGCGUGGGGCUCAACCCCAUAAAGCCACAGAUACUGGCAGACUAGAGUACUGGAGAGGGAAGUGGAAUUCCAUGUGUAGCGGUAAAAUGCGUAGAUAUAUGGAGGAACACC
rnacentral:rRNA from 1 species